rnacentral:rRNA from 1 species
UGGGGAAUUUUGGACAAUGGGCGAAAGCCUGAUCCAGCAAUGCCGCGUGUGUGAAGAAGGCCUUCGGGUUGUAAAGCACUUUUGUCCGGAAAGAAAUCCUUGGCUCUAAUACAGUCGGGGGAUGACGGUACCGGAAGAAUAAGCACCGGCUAACUACGUGCCAGCAGCCGCGGUAAUACGUAGGGUGCAAGCGUUAAUCGGAAUUACUGGGCGUAAAGCGUGCGCAGGCGGUUUGCUAAGACCGAUGUGAAAUCCCCGGGCUCAACCUGGGAACUGCAUUGGUGACUGGCAGGCUAGAGUAUGGCAGAGGGGGGUAGAAUUCCACGUGUAGCAGUGAAAUGCGUAGAGAUGUGGAGGAAUACCGAUGGCGAAGGCAGCCCCCUGGGCCAAUACUGACGCUCAUGCACGAAAGCGUGGGGGAGCAAACAGGAUUAGAUACCCUGGUAGUCCACGCCCUAAACGAUGUCAACUAGUUGUUGGGGAUUCAUUUCCUUAGUAACGUAGCUAACGCGUGAGUUGACCGCCUGGGGAGUACGGUCGCAAGAUU